rnacentral:lncRNA from 1 species
AGAAAGGGAAGAAAAAGAUGGAGAAAAGAGGAGGCGGGAGGUAGAAUUUUGUUUUCGUCGCUCUAUUUCAAAAAACCAUUUAAAACAGUGAAGAAAAUAGUAAAGGUUCUCUUUCCAGCAUCUUUCAGAGUCUCUCUCAAAGGUGAACAAGAAAAUUUUACAGGUAAGACAUAUUUAUUAAUUAUUUGCUUUUUUACUUUAAUUUUUAUAUAAGAAAAUUCUACAUCUUUUAUUUUAUUUUUACUUUUUUUCAAAAAUAUUUUACAAUAUGAGCUUUAUCACUGAAUAAUAUUAUAUCAGAAUAGUAAUAUAAAAGUUUAAACUUAAUGUCAAUUUAGAAAAUCUAAUAACUUUUAGUAAUAAUGAGAAUAAUAGCUAUAAUAAUGGAAUAGAAAUAUAUAGAAAGCUAUGAAUUAUAAUAUUAAUUAUUAGUUUUAAGUUUUAUUCAAAUUUAAGUGUAAAAGUAGGUAAAAACAUUUUAAACUUCAAAGCUUUUGCACUAUAAAAGUUGCAAUUAUAUUUUAUAUUUUAUCUUUUUAAAAAGUUAUUUUUCUUUUAAUUUAUAUUUAAGUUAAAAAUAUUUUUUAUUAAUAUUAUUAUUUAUCUAAAACUUUUAUUAUAUUUUUAUAAAAAUAGUAUUUAAAAUAUUGUCAUAUGAUCCAUUCAAUUGAUAAGCUUAAGACUACUAAAAUCUGUGGCAAGCUUGACUUAUCAGUAAAUUAAAUUAUAACUCCAUUCAAUAUACCAAGCACUAUGGCUACUAAUAUACGUUCACAAAAAUAAUAAAAUUUAUACUGGUUCAUCAAUAAUAAUAAAAUUAAUACAUUAUCAUAUUAUUCAUAAUGCCAGAUAAAAUAGUAAGUGUGAAUAUAAAUAGUGCAAAGUAUCUAGAAAUUGAAAUAGUUAAGAAUAUAAAAAUAAUAAUUACGUGAAGCCCGAUGAAGAAAAGAGUCAGACUGCUCAAAAAGAGGAACUAUAGAAGACCUAGCCAUCAUUUGAAAAAUAAAUAAAUUGAGACUGUCAAUCUCGAUAGUAAGUUAAAAUCAUAUAGUCUGAAUUAAAACAACCAUUUAUAUAAGAUAAUUAUUUAAAUAACAUAAAAUAUCACAUAAUAAUAAAUAUAUGUCAUAUAUUAUAAUUUAAAAAAUUAUAAUUUUAAUAUAUAAGGGAUAAUUACCUCAGCAGAACCCCAAAUCUCCAAUUCUAUCAGCCUUUUGGCUCUCUUAUUCCAAUAAUAUUGGCGCCUAGAGAGCAAAGCUCGAUCAUGAUCCUUAAAUCCAGACUCGUCACUUAAUACCAAUACAUUCAGCGACAAAAGAGUAAUGCUCAACCAAUCACCUUUCCUCCAGCAAAUCAAAAUUUUAUGAGCCUAGAGAGCUAUGUUCGACUAAGGCACAUUACAUGAUAUUUCUCUAUUACCUAUCUCUGAUCUAUAUUGAUAUGCACACGGUCUUGAUGUAACCUAUCAAGUGACAUAUUCUACUGUUGUCCCAUUCCGAGUCACGUUUCAGAUUUAAUAUCAAUAAAAUUAAAAUAACAUGAUACAAAAAUAUUUAUAAUAUUAUUCGAUCCAACAAUAAAUACUGAAAUUUUAAAUAACCUUAGUUAUAUCGAACAUAAAUUAAUAAUGCUAUAUUUAUAAUAAUAAUAAUUAAUGUAAUGAUAAAUAAGUAAUAAUAAUAAUAAUAUUGAUAAGAAGAAAAUAAAAUAUAAUAAUAUUAAUACUGCUAAUAAUAAUUAUAAUAUUUAUUAAUAAAAUAAAAAAUAUAUUUAAUUACGGAUAUAACACAUGUAGUAAAUUAUAUGAUUUUAAUUCACAGUUAUGUCAAGUUUUCUCUGUUGCUCUUAUGCCUCUGGUGGAGCUGGCUGAACCAACAAAUUAUCUAUUCAUAAAAAUACUUAAAUUAAUAAAAUAUUUCAUAAGUAAUCCUAGACCUAGACUCUUAAAUUUAGAUUAUAUAAAAAUCCCGACUGAUUUCGACUUAAAAAUUUUAUCGAAAAUUUGAUAAAACCUCUCCUAAAAUACAAACGUUUCAGAGUUUGCUACAAACACUUUUAAUAUUAAUCAAUUGUUUAAUAGAAGUCGGGCCACCAAAGCUGCAUUAUUUUUUCUGAUUCCACAACAUAAUUGAAAUCACAAAUAUUAAAUAACAAUCUGAUAAGAAUAUUUAUUUCACAACCAACUCAUAAAUAAUUUACUGGUACUUGAUUUAAUUAUUCAUAGCCACAAUUAUCUCCAAAUCAAAUAAUAAUUAAUCGCACAAAUAAAUUCAUAAUAUUUACAAUUAAAGUAAUAAUUAAAUUAAAUUAAAUUAAUUAUUUAUAAUUAACAUUUAAUGUAGCUAACAUCUUCUAAAAUUUUUAAAUAGUUCUUAAAGUCCAAAUAAAUAUUCUCGAGCCAAAAAUCUAAAUUUCUGUAUGCUCGAUACAGCCAACGACGUCAGAAUUCAGAUUUGGGGGCUUGUACGCGAAGCUUGAGACACAGUGAGCCCAAAAAUACUGAAAUCAAAGCCUAGCUCUCGCCAGAAAAUACCAAAUCGCGGAGGAAAGAUUUCUGCCAUGGCGAGGUGUUAUCACCGGCUGCCAAUCAGAGAAAUGGCAAAGAAGGGCUGGUCGAGGGGUUUUCGAUGUGGAGGGUUAGAAUCCGGCGUCGGUUUGCCCAAGGGAUGCUGGCAAGGUAAUGAUCCAAUGGUGGCAGCAAGGGCGACAACUGCUCUAAUUUCUUUUGAACUUUCCAACGAGAAUAGAGAAAAAUGAUGGCAACGACAAAAAGUAGUGGAGAGAAAGGAGUUUGGUGGUUGAGGAAAUCAGGGAGGGAGAAGGAUUGCAGAUCCGCUUAUAAUUUAAGAAUAAAUAUUUGUAUCAACGCCGAUUAAAAUAAAAUAAAAUUUGAUUUGUUUAA